rnacentral:lncRNA from 10 species
AGAAAACAGCUUGGAAAUAUCCAGAAUAGAUAAAUCCACACAGAGAGAAAACAGAGAGAAAUACCCAGAAUAGAUAAAUCCACAGAGAGAGAAAACAGCUUGGAAAUAUCCAGAAUAGAUAAAUCCACAGACAGAGAAAACAGAGAGAAAUAUCCAGAAUAGAUAAAUCCACAGAGAGAGAAAACAACUUGGAAAUAUCCAGAAUAGAUAAAUCCACAGUGAGAGAAAACAGUCCCAGUAGUUAUCAGGGACUGGAGAGAGGGAAGAAUGAGAAGUGACUACUUCAUGGAUACAAGGUUUUCUCUGGGGGUGAUGAAAAUAUUUUGACAUCUGAUAAAGGUGGUGGUAGUACAGCACUGUGAAUGUACCAAUUGCCACUGAAUUGUGCAUUUUAAAGUGAUUGAUUUUAUGUGGAACAAAUUUCACUUUAAUUAUAAAAAGUGAAUAAACUUUUAGAAGCUAACCUUGGAAGAAGGUAGAGACUGGAAGGGAUCACAAGAAAGGCUUCUGGGAUGUUGGUUGAUUUCUCUAAGAAGUACAUGCUGAAAUGAAGAUAAGAGUACAAAAUAUUUAUCGGAGAGUAGUAACACAGAGGAGACACAGGAUUUGGCAGAAACACUAAACCAUGGUGAAGACCGGCUAAAGUCUCUUUGUCCAAAGGGGAGCUCUAAAGUAAAUAUGAGCCAUUAAGGGAGCCCCACACUGGAUGGAAAUGGCCAAGCCUUUUUACAACCACCUUCUCCUUGAGACACUGCCUGCAAUUCACCCUGGGAAAGCAAAACCUCAACUGUUUCUGCCUCAUUCAUUCUUUGUCAGUGCCGUAAGAAGAUUGAGAUUUCAGCUUGUAACUGUUGAAGCAAAACCUAAAGUGGUUAAUAAUGGGAGUUUGUCACAACUAUCUUAACACAAAUAUAAAAUAUUUGCAUGAACUGUAAUAACCUUUUAUUUAUAAAUUAAAAACUUAUUGAUAAAAUACAGAUUUCAAUAACAUUAGUAAAAAAUCUUUUCACUUUUCUUAAGUAAUUCAGAAUAGAUCAUCUUUCAUUUUAGUUCCUACACUUGAUCCUUAGAAGAAAAAGAAACCUAUUUUUUUUAUAAUGCAAACACUUUAGUUUAACAUAAACAAGAAAAAGGGAAGACUGGCUGAGAAAAAAAAACUCUAAAAACCAUCUAGCAUAUUCAAAAGAUAAUUCAUGCCUUUGAGAUCAUUUAAGCAGUACAUCACCUUUAGUUAUAAAGAGAAAUGUGAAACUAUUUUUACAAUUAAUUACAUCUAUCAGCAGGAAAUAAAAUGUAUUCAAAAUUGACCUGUAUAUGAGUGAUGGUUGUAACAGAGUUAUUGAUUUUUCCUGUUGGGAAAUGCCAUCCAAAACUGGCAUGAUCUUUUCAAGUAAACUCAAAAUCCGAACAAUGUCUUCAAAAGUAGGCAUGUUGUUAACAAUGGUCCCUGCUGUUUUCUAUGAAUGGGCAGUAAUAUUCUCUAUAACAUUAGCCCUUGGAAAUUAAAAUGUCCUUUGUUGAAAACAGAGAAAUCUGUCAAAAUGCUAUGUUUUUUUAUAAGGAACACUGCUAAUCCUAUAAAACGGCUUCUUCCUCUCACCUAAUCACUACAAUUAUGCCUCUAAACUAACAGAAAGAUACCAAAUCUAAUCUCUGACAAAGUAUCACAGUGACUAAAAAGGGAAUUAAUGUACUUGCAAGGGAGUAGAGAGAAUAUACUGUAUUUUGGACAUUGCGCAUGCUAAAUUCUGUCUUAAAGUAAUUUAAGAAAUAAAAUUUAUGAAAAUUCUUCUGGGAAUA